GACGAAGCGUGCUAGCGUUGUUCGGAAUCACUGGGCUUAAAGGGCGCGUAGGCGGGCAUGCAAGUCAGGGGUGAAAGCCCACGGCUCAACCGUGGAAGUGCCUUUGAUACUGCGAGUCUUGAGGGAGGUAGGGGCGUGCGGAACUUCCGGUGGAGCGGUGAAAUGCGUAGAUAUCGGAAGGAACACCGGUGGCGAAAGCGGCGCGCUGGACCUCUUCUGACGCUGAGGCGCGAAAGCCAGGGGAGCAAACGGG
rnacentral:rRNA from 1 species